rnacentral:rRNA from 1 species
GACGAACGCUGGCGGCGUGCUUAACACAUGCAAGUCGAACGGAAAGGCCCUGCUUUUGUGGGGUGCUCGAGUGGCGAACGGGUGAGUAACACGUGAGUAACCUGCCCUUGACUUUGGGAUAACUUCAGGAAACUGGGGCUAAUACCGGAUAGGAGCUCCUGCUGCAUGGUGGGGGUUGGAAAGUUUCGGCGGUUGGGGAUGGACUCGCGGCUUAUCAGCUUGUUGGUGGGGUAGUGGCUUACCAUGGCUUUGACGGGUAGCCGGCCUGAGAGGGUGACCGGCAACAUUGGGACGGAGAUACGGCCCAGACUCCUACGGGAGGCAGCGGUGGGGAAUAUUGCACAAUGGGCGGAAGCCUGAUGCAGCAACGCCGCGUGCGGGAUGACGGCCUUCGGGUUGUAAACCGCUUUCGCCUGUGACGAAGCGUGAGUGACGGUAAUGGGUAAAGAAGCACCGGCUAACUACGUG